UUAACGACGAAAGGGCGGAAACGCCCGACCUCCAACCCUUUGUUUGCGAAACCCCGUUGCCUCGGGGGCUCCGGCCCCCGUCGGGCCACUAAACACUGCAUCAUUGCGUCCGAGUAAAUUUUUUAAUAAAUUAAAACUUUCAACAACGGAUCUCUUGGUUCUGGCAUCGAUGAAGAACGCAGCGAAAUGCGAUAAGUAAUGUGAAUUGCAGAAUUCAGUGAAUCAUCGAAUCUUUGAACGCACAUUGCGCCCUCUGGUAUUCCGGAGGGCAUGCCUGUUCGAGCGUCAUUACACCACUCAAGCCUCGCUUGGUAUUGGGCGCCGCGGUCGACGCGCGCCUCAAUUUCACCGGCCGAGCACCCGAUCUCCGAGCGUAGAAGAAUCAUUUUCGCUCUCGAGUUGAGGGGACUCGCGCCGUUAAGCCUUUUUUAACAAGGUUGACCUCGGAUCAGGUAGGGGACUUUA
rnacentral:rRNA from 1 species